rnacentral:rRNA from 1 species
GGUUAACGCUGGCGGUAUGUAUAAUACAUGCAAGUCGAGCGAACUGAUUAGAAGCUUGCUUCUAUGACGUUAGCGGCGGACGGGUGAGUAACACGUGGGCAACCUGCCUGUAAGACUGGGAUAACUUCGGGAAACCGAAGCUAAUACCGGAUAGGAUCUUCUCCUUCAUGGGAGAUGAUUGAAAGAUGGUUUCGGCUAUCACUUACAGAUGGGCCCGCGGUGCAUUAGCUAGUUGGUGAGGUAACGGCUCACCAAGGCAACGAUGCAUAGCCGACCUGAGAGGGUGAUCGGCCACACUGGGACUGAGACACGGCCCAGACUCCUACGGGAGGCAGCAGUAGGGAAUCUUCCGCAAUGGACGAAAGUCUGACGGAGCAACGCCGCGUGAGUGAUGAAGGCUUUCGGGUCGUAAAACUCUGUUGUUAGGGAAGAACAAGUACAAGAGUAACUGCUUGUACCUUGACGGUACCUAACCAGAAAGCCACGGCUAACUACGUGCCAGCCGCCGCCGUAA